ACUACAUCUAAAUGUACGUGAUAAUAUCUGAUUAGAUAGAAAAAGACGUUAUUUUUGAUAGAUUUCGGAUAAGUAGCAAACGUUAAAGAACAACAAUACGACCACCAAUACGAUAGCCAAAAAUAACGUAUCCGCCAAUAACCAAUCGUUAAGAUAAUUUAUUAUGUAUAUAUAAUAAAUGUCGAUCGCCCUUUGCUGCUUCAUUGAUGUAUUUCUAAACAUUUAAACGCAAAUAUUUUGAACAUCCUUAAUGGAAAUUCUGGCUCUGUCACAUACCGAUAUUAAAGAAUCAACAAAUAGAAAUCGAAAAAAAUA
rnacentral:misc_RNA from 1 species